UGGGGAAUAUUGCACAAUGGGCGCAAGCCUGAUGCAGCCAUGCCGCGUGUGUGAAGAAGGCCUUCGGGUUGUAAAGCACUUUCAGCGGGGAGGAAGGCGAUAAGGUUAAUAACCUUGUCGAUUGACGUUACCCGCAGAAGACGCACCGGCUAACUCCGUGCCAGCAGCCGCGGUAAUACGGAGGGUGCAAGCGUUAAUCGGAAUUACUGGGCGUACAGCGCACGCAGGCGGUCUGUCAGGUCGGAUGUGAAAUCCCCGGGCUCAACCUGGGAACUGCAUUCGAAACUGGCAGGCUAGAGUCUUGUAGAGGGGGGUAGAAUUCCAGGUGUAGCGGUGAAAUGCGUAGAGAUCUGGAGGAAUACCGGUGGCGAAGGCGGGCCCCUGGACAAAGACUGACGCUCAGGUGCGAAAGCGUGGGGAGCAAACAGG
rnacentral:rRNA from 1 species